rnacentral:rRNA from 1 species
UAGGGAAUCCUCGGCAAUGGACGGAAGUCUGACCGAGCAACGCCGCGUGAGUGAAGAAGGUUUUCGGAUCGUAAAGCUCUGUUGUAAGAGAAGAACGAGUGUGAGAGUGGAAAGUUCACACUGUGACGGUAUCUUACCAGAAAGGGACGGCUAACUACGUGCCAGCAGCCGCGGUAAUACGUAGGUCCCGAGCGUUGUCCGGAUUUAUUGGGCGUAAAGCGAGCGCAGGCGGUUAGAUAAGUCUGAAGUUAAAGGCUGUGGCUUAACCAUAGUAGGCUUUGGAAACUGUUUAACUUGAGUGCAAGAGGGGAGAGUGGAAUUCCAUGUGUAGCGGUGAAAUGCGUAGAUAUAUGGAGGAACACCGGCGGCGAAAGCGGCUCUCUGGCUUGUAACUGACGCUGAGGCUCGAAAGCGUGGGGAGCAAACAGGAUUAGAUACCCUGGUAGUCCACGCUGUAAACGAUGAGUGCUAGGUGUUAGACCCUUUCCGGGGUUUAGUGCCGUAGCUAACGCAUUAAGCACUCCGCCUGGGGAGUACGACCGCAAGGUU